AUGGAGAGGAAACUCGGAGCUGUGCUGGGGAUUCUAUGGGUGUGGAUUUUCUGGGUGAAAGGAGUUGAGGUGGAGCAGAGUCCUUCAGCCCUGAGUCUCCACGAAGGAAGCAGUUCUACUCUGUCAUGCAAUUUUUCUACCACCAUGACAACUGUGCAGUGGUUCCGGCAGAAUUCCAGGGGCAGCCUCAUCAAUCUUUUCUAUCUGACUCCGGGAACAAAGCAGAAUGGGAGGUUAAACUCAACCUUCAACUCAAAGGAGCGCAAGAGCACGCUUCACAUCAGGGGUGCCCAGCUGGAGGACUCUGGCACCUACCUCUGUGCAGCAAUGGCACAGUGCUUCCAGCAAGCCUGCAGCCUGGCCCCAAACUGUGUCAGGUGUGCAGUUCACAGCCCUGCCACAGGCAGACUCUACAGGAGGAUUUUCACACUUGUGGCUUUAUCAGAUCUCCACCAAUUACAAAGGUGGUGUGAGGAAACAGAAAAAUACCACUGCAGUAGUUCACACUUAAACUAG